ACAAUCAUAGGUUAAGGGGAAACUAUUCGUCUACCAAACGAAAUUUGUCAGUUCGAUUCUGACUGAUUGUA
rfam:Metarhizium acridum CQMa 102 unplaced genomic scaffold Scf_006, whole genome shotgun sequence.